rnacentral:lncRNA from 1 species
GGAGGCAGUGGGAGGAUUUUACUGACUGCACAACACACAACUUCCCCAGGCCCCCGAGGAUGCCGGCGUCUCCUUCAGCCAUCAGGCCCCAGCAGUGCCCCUUGCUCCUGUACCCACUCUGGACUCUCGCCGGUAGGGAGGGCUGGGCUGACAGUGCCACGAGUGGGAGAACAGGGGUCAGGGCAGGACACAGGGUUGGGAUCAGGGCUGGGCACAGGAUCAGGGUCUGGGCUGGGCACAGGAUCAAGGUCUGGGCUGGGCACAAGGUCGGGACCAGCGUCGUGCCCAGCCUUUGGGUCAGAAGAUUCCACAGGAGUAGGGCUGGGGGUGGAUCUGGAGCCGGGGAGGGGUUUGGAGCUGGGAUCCGGCAGAGUGCCCGGCCCAGAGCCAGGGUCAGGGUUGCGGCCAGAGCUGGUGCCAGGGCUGAGGCCCAAGCCAGAGCCGAGCACAGAAACAGCAUCAGGACCCAGGAGGGAGACCUGCCCCGGCCUCAUCAUGGAUGCAGGGCUUAGGCCAGGCCCGAGGCCCAGCUGCAGCAGCGGCUGCACCCUCAUGCACCCGUUUGUGCUUGGUGAGGCUGGAGGCCUGGCCGAAGGCCUUCCCGCAGAGCUGACAGCGAUAGGGACGCUCGCCCGAAUGCACGUGCAGGUGCUGGAGCAGCGCUGAGCUCUGGCCGAAGGCCUUGGAGCAGUGCGGGCAGGCGUAGGGCCGCUCGCCCGUGUGGAUGCGCAGGUGGUGUUGCAAGUUGGAGCUCUGCCCGAAGGCUUUGCCGCAGUGGGGGCAGCGGUAGGGGCGCUCGGCCGUGUGUGUGCGCUGGUGCUGCAGCAGCGCCGAGCUCUGCCCGAAGGCCUUGCCGCACUGCGGACACGGGUAGGGCCGCUCGCCCGUGUGCGUGCGCAGGUGUUUGAGCAGCGCAGAGCCCUGGCCGAAGCCCUUGGCGCACACCGGGCACUUGUGGGGCCGCGGGCCGCCGUGCGUGCGCAGGUGCUGUGCCAGGAGCGAGCCGUGCCCGAAGGCCUUGCCACACACCGGGCAGUGGUGCGGCUUCUCCCCGCUGUGGCUGCUGCGAUGUUUCAGCAGCGUGGAGCGCCAGCCGAAGGCCUUGCCGCAGGCCGCGCACUGGUACGGCCGCGCCCCAGUGUGGAUGCCACGGUGCUGAGCCAGGGUGGCACCGUGGCUGAAGGACUUCCCGCAGUCGGGGCAGCGGUACGGCUUCUCGCCGCUGUGCGUGCGGCGAUGCUGGCUCAGCCCGGAGCUGCGGCGGAAG